GAUGUUUUUUUCUAUAACUUUUAUUACUUUACUAUACCUAUUUUCAUCGAAAGUUACGGCUCAAGCUAAUCAAUUUAGAAUUGUGGGAGGUUUCGAUACCGACAUUUCGGAUGCUCCAUAUAUGGCCUCAUUGCGUGAGUUACGCAAGGAGAUUCGUGCACUGGGCAGUGGACAUUUUUGUGGUGGGACUAUUAUUAAAGAUCGUGUAAUUCUUACGGCAGCUCAUUGUUUAACUAAGUGGGUACGCCUCAGCGAAAAUGUUGCCUGUUCAUUCAGUUAAUUUUUGCUGCAGACGGAGCCCCGCCAAGGCAUUGGUUGUAGUGGGAUUCAAGUAUCUUUCCCUCAAUUGGCCGACGAUGAAGAAACUGAAAAUCUCAAAUUGGAAUUAUCAUAAAAAAUAUAGAAAGGAAAGAAAAGCAAUAUUCGAUAUUGGAUUGAUAUUCACAAUUGAAAAUAUAGAACCCGUUAAUGGGGCAAUCGCAUUUCUGCCCCUUAACACGGUGGAAAUAAGCCCUGGUACUAAAUGUCUAUUGUCUGGAUGGGGUCGAGUUGAGCACAAUGCACCCCAUAGAGCAAGUUGCCUGCAGUCAUUGUGGCAACGGAUUCUAGACAAAAGAGUAUGUUUUAAGAUCGCUAAUAGAUAUGACCUAUUGUGCACCAACUCAGGGCUUCCGACUGGGGCUAGUCGAGGUGAUUCAGGUGGUCCGCUGCGCUGCAACGAUAAACUUGCGGGUGUUAUCGCUGCCGGAGACCUACAUGGUCUCGCUUUAUAUACAGAUGUCCGGCCAUUUGCCGAUUGGAUAGAAGAACAGAUUAGGAAUGGAAUAAUGCCACUUGGCUCGUUUUGCAUUGGGAAGCACGUUGUUUUGGCCAUCAGCAUUUGUGUGGCCACCAUAUGCAAGUCGGGAUUUUAGACUCAGACUAAACCGAGUUACUUACAAUGACUUAUAAAUCAGUAGGCUUAUGAGUUUCGUUCAAUUAACAACUAAUAUUUCGAGAUUUAUAAAAUUCCAAAUUUCCUUGUCUGAAUUUUAGAAAACAAAUAUUAUGUCUCUAAUGCUAAUAUUGAUGAUUCAUAUCGUUUUAUUUUAUCCAUUGACAUCGGCGAAUGCUGGCUCUACGUAUUAAAACAUGUGGAAAUGAAGAAGUCCAGGUCAAAUUUGUUUACAUUCCGCUUGGAAACUGGGUCAUUGUGAGCGCGAGCGAGCGAGAUGGCAACAGCAAUGUUGUUAAGCGAUUGUUCGCCGCUGGGACGCAGCUUGAAAUCGCCAACACGAUGGCAACGUGGGACAUGCCCUACCAGCGGCGAUAACAACAAACUGAUCAAAAAAAAAUCAGCAUAACGUUCAAGCCGCUGUAAAUGCUCUAUCUCGUGGAACGAUAAUUGGCCAGAAAUCGCAACUAACUUCAAAUUAUUGUUCAUAUUUUUAUGGAAUGACCUAAGAAAUGGAAAGAAAUAAUUGUAAAUAAUUUUUAAUAUUAGUUUAGCG
rnacentral:misc_RNA from 1 species